rnacentral:misc_RNA from 1 species
UCGGUAUCCUGUGUUGCUUACCUACCGAAAGGAAUUCGAUCGUUGUAACGUUGCCCCUUUCCGCCCGAUGCCCUCCGUGGGUGUGGGGUGGACGCUAGGCACGCUACGUGUUCCUCGCACGCCUCGCCUUGUCGCGGGGCUGUCGAGGCCCACGGAGCUGUUGCCCGUUCUCUCGGAUGCGGAAUGUCAUGCAUGGGUGCGGGGUCUAGGCCUUCGCUCGCCCAAGCAAUGCAUUUGUCCCUUGACACGAACGACCGCCGCGGCCGUCUUGAUCCCGUCGUGGCCUACGUGCUCGACGGGGCUCAUGCGACCGUCGGCGUCGUCGAGGAAUGCUACCUGGUUGAUCCUGCCAGUAGUCAUAUGCCUUGUC